UACAGAGGUCCCAAGCGUUACUGAGAAUCACUGGGUUUAAAGGGUGCGCAGGUGGUCCGUUAAGUCAGUUGUGAAAUCCCCGGGCUCAACCCGGGAAAUGCUUCUGAUACUGGCGGACUUGAGGCCAGUAGGGGUCACUAGAACUGACGGUGGAGCGGUGAAAUGCGUAGAUAUCGUCAGGAAUGCCGGUGGUGAAGACGGGUGACUGGGCUGGUUCUGACACUGAGGCACGAAAGCGUGGGGAGCGAACGGG
rnacentral:rRNA from 1 species